rnacentral:rRNA from 1 species
GAUGAACGCUGGCGGCGUGCCUAAUACAUGCAAGUCGAGCGAACAGACGAGGAGCUUGCUCCUCUGACGUUAGCGGCAGACGUGUGAGUCACACGUGUAUAACCUCCCUAUAAGACUGGGAUCACUUCGGGAAACCGGAGCUAAUACCGUAUAAUCUAUUGAACCGCAUGGUUCAAUGGUGAGAGACGGUUUUGCUGUCACUUAUCGAUGGAUCCGCGCCGCAUUAGCUAGUUGGUAAGGUAACGGGUUACCAAGGCAACGAUGCGUAGCCGACGGGAUAGGGUGAUCGCCCACACGGGAACGGGGACACGCCCCAGACGCCUACGGGACGGCGCAGAAGGGAAUCGUCGGCAAUGGGCGAGAGCAUGACGGAGCAAGGGCGCGUGAGUGAUGAAGGCCUCGGGAUCGUAAAACUCGGUUAUUAGGGAAGAACAAAUGUGUAAGUAACUAUGCACGUCUUGACGGUAAUUAAUCAGAAAGCCACGGCUAACUACGUG